AUGAACGCUGGCGGCGUGCCUAAUACAUGCAAGUCGAGCGAACAGACGAGGAGCUUGCUCCUUCGACGUUAGCGGCGGACGGGUGAGUAACACGUAGGUAACCUACCUAUAAGACUGGGAUAACUUCGGGAAACCGGAGCUAAUACCGGAUAAUAUUUCGAACCGCAUGGUUCGAUAGUGAAAGAUGGCUUUGCUAUCACUUAUAGAUGGACCUGCGCCGUAUUAGCUAGUUGGUAAGGUAACGGCUUACCAAGGCAACGAUACGUAGCCGACCUGAGAGGGUGAUCGGCCACACUGGAACUGAGACACGGUCCAGACUCCUACGGGAGGCAGCAGUAGGGAAUCUGCCGCAAUGGGCGAAAGCCUGACGGAGCAACGCCGCGUGAGUGAUGAAGGUCUUCGGAUCGUAAAACUCUGUUAUUAGGGAAGAACAAACGUGUAAGUAACUGUGCACGUCUUGACGGUACCUAAUCAGAAAGCCACGGCUAACUACGUG
rnacentral:rRNA from 1 species